GCACUGCUGACGAGUCCCAAACAGGACGAAAUACCUGUCCGGUGC
rnacentral:hammerhead_ribozyme from 1 species